CCUACGGGUGGCAGCAGUGGGGAAUAUUGGGCAAUGGAGGCAACUCUUACCCAGCAAUGCCGCGUGAAUGAAGAAGGUCUUCGGAUUGUAAAGUUCUUUAAUUGGGGACGAAAAAAAUGACGGUACCCAGGGAAUAGGCCCCGGCUAACUACUUGCCAGCAGCCGCGGUAAUACGAAGGGGGCAAGGGUUGUUCGGAAUGACUGGGCGUAAAGGGAGUGUAGGCGGUGUAGCAAGUUAAAAGGGAAAUACCUAGAGCUUAACUCAGGUGCUGCUUCUAAAACUGCUAUACUUGAGUGCAGGAGAGGAAAGUGGAAUUCCUAGUGUAGCGGUGGAAUGCGUAGAUAUUAGGAGGAACAUCAGUGGCGAAGGCGACUUUCUGGACUGUAACUGACGCUGAGGCACGAAAGUGUGGGGAGCAAACAGGAUUAGAUACCCUUGUAGUC
rnacentral:rRNA from 1 species